AAUGCUUUCCUUGCAAAAGGGAUUUGAACUACUUCCCAAGUGCAAUUGGAUUCUAAUGCCUCAAGUUCUUUUGCCAUAGCUGCUUGCCAACCGGGAUGAAUGGCUACUUCUUGGUAAGAAUUUGGCUCAGAAAUUUGGCAUAUAGAGUUAACAAACUAUUAAUUUGGUUGAGAAAGUGCAGAAAAAGAGUAAGAGUGAAACGGGGUAAAAGGUGGGUUUGAUGAAAUUACUGAAUAAGCAGCAUCGCAUAUGUAGUCUGAUAAAUAUUUAGGUGCAUUAUGCUCUCUAGAAGAUCUACGUAGCCCAUCUGCUGGAGCUGAUUCAACUCUAGAUGUAGACAGAGUAACAAUGGGGCAAUCUUUGCCUCUAGGACUGGAAGAUGAUAAAGAAAUAACACCUGGUGUAGUUACAUUAGGUGAAUUAGAUUCCUGUUGUGAAGAAAAAAUAUGUAUUCCCUCAUCAGAGACAGGAAAACUGGCUGGAAACAAUUUUGACAUAGGAGUGGAAUAAGAAAAAGGGAAUAUAGACUCAAAGAAUUUGAUAUCCCUAGAAAUAAAUACGUGAUUCGAUUGAAUGUUCAAAAUUCUAUAUCCUUUAUUUCCAAAAGGGUAACCUAAGAAGACUCUAGGGAUUGCUCUAGGGUGUAGUUUAUCUCUAUUUCUAGAAAGAGUAGAGACAAAGCAUAAACAACCGAAAGGCUUCAAAUGAGAGUAAUCUGACAAUUUGCCAAACAAAACUUGAUAGGGUGAUCUAUUAUUUAGAACUCUUGAAGGGAAUCUAUUAAUCAAGUAAGUUGAUGUUAGCAAACAAUCACCCCAAUAUUUCUUUGGUAAAUGAGACUGGAAUAAUAAAGCUUUACAUGUCUCUAAUAAGUGUUUGUGUUUUCUUUCAACUACCCCAUUUUGUUGUGGGGUUCCAAUGCAUGAUGUGUGAUGAACUAUCCCUUUGGAAGUAAAGAAAUCUGAAGGAGUUAUUCCUGUCCCUAACUCAUAUGCAUUAUCUGAUCUUAUGAUCUUAACCUUGGCUGAGAAUUGUGUUUCUAUAAGAGCUAAAAAGGAUUUAAGGGUAGGGAAAGCAUUAGACUUUGUAGAUAAAAGAUAGGCCCAAGUUGCCCUUGAAAAAUUAUCCGCAAUAGUAAGAAAAUAUCUUUCUCCCUUGUAAGUGGGAACAUUAUAAGGACCCCAAGUAUCUAUGUGUAGUAAUUCAAAGCACUGUUUAGAGCUAAUAGAGCUUGUUGGAAAAGGCAAUUUAGACUGUCUUGCCAUUGGGCAUAUGUCACAAGGAAAAACCUGUUUAUUUUUUGAUGAAAGAGAUAUAUUCUUUAUAUUUUUCAUUGCAUGAUAAGGUAAGUGCCCCAAUCUUAAAUGCCAAAGUCUGUUGGAAUUCAUAGAAUCAGAAACUGCAGUUUUAUUCAUUUUCAAACUUUCAUUAGAUGGAAAAAUUCCUCUUACAGAUAUUUGAAUAGACUCUGGGACAUAACUACACGAUUGAACAAAAGACUCCAAGUUGGCUGCACUACAAGUCUUCACAUGAUUUUUAGGGAAAAGAAAGAAAGGCUCAUUGGACACUCUAGACUUAGUUGAAUCAACUCUCAACACAUAGAGACCAGCAAAAGCUUCACCAAGUACCAUUUGCCUCUUCAGAAAAGGGGCUUGUACAAGACAUUCAGAUUUAGUAAACAAAAUAUUAGAAUUUAGCUGCUUACACAAUUGGUUAACAGACAAAAGAUUAUGGUUGAAAGAAGGAAUAUAAAGAACAUUAUGCAACUCAAGUUCAGGUGAAAUUAAUACACUUCCUAAACUGUACACUUUGACUUUAUAAGAAUUUGACACAAUUGGUUAACAGACAAAAGAUUAUGGUUGAAAGAAGGAAUAUAAAGAACAUUAUGCAACUCAAGUUCAGGUGAAAUUAAUACACUUUCUAAACUGUACACUUUGACUUUAUAAGAAUUUGGUAGUGUAACUUGAAUAGGGAAAGGGAGUUGUUUGAAAUUGUUUAGAAGUGUUUUAUCAUGAGUCAUAUGUUGUGAGGCUCCUGAAUCAAUUAUCCAAAACUUGGAUGUGAUAGUUGUAAAACAAGAAAUAAAGGCGUGAAAAGCAGUACAUUUACCCACAUAGUUGGCACUUACAUUAGCAUCAGAACCUGAAGUACCUAUGUUUCCAGCUUGCACAGAUUGUAUCAUCUGAAUCAACUGCUCACACUGUUCUUUUGUGAACCCCCGUGGAUUCAUUAGGCUAGGUGCAACACCUCGAGUGAUAACUGCUCCUCCUCCUGAUGUUUCACCUUCCUCAAUCACUGCUGCAUUAGCCUGAAUAUUUCCAAAGUUUCUCUUUGGCUUAGUGAACUUGAAAGACGGUGGGUACCCAACCAGUUUAUAAUAUUUCUCUUUCUGGUGUCCCUACUUCUUACAGUAAGAGCAGAAGUUGUUUUCCUUGCUUCAGUGUUACUGUUAUAAUUUCUACCCCUGUACUCACUAUUAGUUUUUUGUGCAUUAACAUUGAAAGCACUGGGCUCAACCGACACAUGGUGAUCAGAGCGUACCUCCCUUUGAGACUCUUCAUGUAAAAUGAUUGAAUAAGCUUGUGCUGUGGAAGGAAGAGCUUCAUCAUGAGGAUGUUUCCCUUUACUUAUCCCUCAUUGAGCCCCAUCAAGAACUAGAUUAGCUUUUGAUCUUUAUUCAUUUUGUGAUUGUGAGUUUUUGCUCCACAGUUGCACUCACACCCACAAGCCAUGAAGGUAUUAAGAACUUUCAUUUGAUCCCAGAUUCUUUUGAGCCUGGUAAAGUAUGCUGCAACAUCAUUUAUUCCUUGCAAAAUGUUGUUAAGUUCUCUUUGUAGCUGGAAUAAUUUUGCACCAUCAGCUUGGCCAUAUCUUUGUUCUAGCUCAGCCCAAAGUUCUCCAGCUGUUUGAGAGUAAAUGACACUUUCUGCUACAUCCUUGCUUAAGGAGUUUAACAGCCAAACAAUGACCAUGUCAUUGCAUCUCCUCCAUUGUGCAAACAGAAGUGAGUUCUCAACUGGUUUUUGACAUGAACCAUUGAUGAAUCCUUGUUUGUUUUUAGCAGAAAGAGAGAUUAAUACCCCCCUUCUCCAAUUUCCAUAACUGGUUCCAUCAAAACUGACAUUAAUAAGGUUCAUUCCAGGAGAAUCAGAAGAGUUGAGAAAAUAUGGAUGAGUUCCAUCCACCAAAUUUGAAGCUACUACUGUGGUAUUCCCAACAGCAGCAUCAAGGAUAGUCCCGGGUGUGACUUCUCAAGGAUUCUGAAGCAACAACCAUAACAAGGAAAUGAUAGAACAGAAAGAUGAAGGAGAAAAAAAAGGAAAAAAAAAACAACAACAAAGGAUAGAGAAAUAAGAUCUCUAAAUUAGAGCACCUGCUCCUGAUACCAUGAAAGCAAAAGGAAUCUUUUCACCUUUUUUUCCGAACGUGUGUCUUUGUACAUGGUAUACGUACCUCUACUUAUACAAACAAAGGGGAAAGACAAAGAGACAAAGACCCAUAAGGCCAUAACCAAUUCUGUACAAAAACAAAAAAAAGGACAAAGACCCAUAACCAACUAUAUUUUAUACAACUAGACAACUAUAUGUACUAUGUCUUGAUAUUGCUUCUGCUUGCUCAAUAUUUGAGGCACCUUUUGUGAGAGCUCUGUUAACAAUUCUACACUUCUUUGCAACUACUGAGAUGUUUAAAGCUAUUGAUUGCACUUCAGUAACACUUAUUCCUAAAGUUAAGAAUCCAGAAUCAGUUAGGAAAUACAGACCUAUCUCAUAUUGUACCUUUCUGUAUAAAAUCAUCUCUAAAGUCCUAACAAAGAGGCUACAUGAGGUUAUGGAGGUAUUGCUAGAUAACUGUCAAUCGAUGUUUGUACCAGGUAGACUGAUAACUAAUAACAUAAUACUCAGCCACGAGUUAGUUAAAGGCUAUGGCAGAAAAGGGCUAUCACCAAGGUGCAUGAUGAAGUUGGAUAUGCAGAAAGCAUAUGAUUCACUCGAAUGGGUCUACCUGGAGCAGGUUUUGAUAGACUUGGAUUUUCCUGAUACUUUCAUUAAAUGGAUCAUGAAUUGUGUGCAGAGUGUCUCUUACUCUAUUUUGCUGAAUGGCUAGCCAACAACACCUUUUGAUGCAAAAAUAGGUCUAAGGCAAGGGGAUCCCUUAUCUCCAUUCCUUUUUGUUUUAGCUAUGGAUUACCUGACACGAAACUUGAAGUCACUAAGGCUGAUACCAGAUUUCAAUUUCCACCCCAAAUGUGACAAAAUGAAGAUAGUGCAGUUUGGUUUGCUGAUGACCUGCUUCUAUUCUGCAGGGGUGACAUAGGAUCAGUGAAACUAUUGUACGAUUGUUUCCUCUAGUUUUCUCAGAGUUCAGGGCUCACAAUUAAUAAAAGCAAAAGCUCAGUUUUCUUUGGAGGUAUACCGGAAAAGGAUCAAUUCGAUAUUCUGACUGUGAUGGGAUUCUCUAAAGGCACUUGCCAGUGAGAUAUCUAGGAGUACCACUUUGUAUAAAGAGGUUAUCUGUAUCAUAAUGUCAGUCAUUGCUCGAUAGAAUAGUGGGAAGAGUUACCUCAUGGACUACUAAAUUCUUGUCUUUUCCAGCUAGACUACAACUGAUUAAAGGCAUCUUGUUAUCUAUGCAAACAUUCUGGUGCCAUAUCUUUGUCUUACCAAAAAAGAUCAUUCAUAAAGUGGAGCUUAGUGGUCCAGCCUCUUGCAGAAAUACAGGGUAAGGCUGCAUACAAUAGACCCUUGUGGUCCGGCCCUUCCCCGGACCCCGCGCAUAGCGGGAGCUUAGUGCAAUGGGCUGCCCUUUCAUAAGGUGGAGGCUAUAUGCAGAAGCUACCUAUGGACGGGAGGAAAUGAUAUAUCUAAGAAAGCUCCAUUGUCGUGGGAUAAAGUAUGCUGUCCAAGAGUAGCUGGUGGACUCAAUGUCAUUGAUAUCUACGCUUGGAAUAAUGCUGUCAUUUGUAAACAUUUCUGGAACUUAUGCAAAAAGAAAGACAGAAUGUGGAUCAAAUGGAUCCACAUCUACAAUGUAAAAGAAAAACAGAUAUGGGAGACUAAUCCUACGCAUGCUUCUUGGAUGGUGAGGAAGAUACUGAAGGCUAAGGAGACAGUUGAUGAAGCAGGGAUAACACACGAGGAGCUAAUGAACAUAAACUAUUUUUCUAUUAAGAAGUUGUUACCUACAACUCAGAGGGGACUUCCCAAAGGUGGCCUGGAAGAGGUUAAUUUGUAAUAAUUCUGGAUGCCCUAAAUGACUCUUUACAGUUUAUAAUGCAUAUAGCUGCUCUUGGCAGGCUAAUUACUAAAGAUAGACUUAGCUAGAUGGGGCAUGGUAAUAAAUCCAAUUUGUUCUUUGUGCGAAAGGGAGGAGGAGUCUACUGAUCACCUAUUCUUUAAAUGCUAAUACUCAUCAGUUGUGUGGUACAAGAUGCUCAGUUGGCAGGGAAUACAAAGAGCACCAAUGGGGCGGCAACAGAAAGUGGAAUGGACUGUCAAAUAUACGAAUGGGAAUAAUGCAAUGGUUGAGAUUUAUAGAACUGUGAUGGCUGGGAGUGUAUACACCUUAUGGCAAGAAAGGAAUCUAAGAAUUUUCCAAGGCAAGAAGAGAAGAAUUGAAGAUCUAUGCAAAUUGAUAAUUCAAGACACCCAUGGUCGAGGGCAAUGGAACAAAAAGUUAGCAGGGAGAUUGAGUAGGAUGAACUUCUACCCAUAGCAGUGUUGGAAUGAAAUUUGUACAGGGGAGGAGGGAUAGUAGCAGAUAGUAGUUGAAAUACUUGGGGUUGUCCAAGUAUUAUGGGUUUUGUUCUAUUUUGUAAAAUAUUUUUUUCCUGGGAAAUAAAAAUACUUAAUUACCAAAAAAAAAAAACAAAUCUAAGUUAAAUUAUGAUGCAAUUAAUUUUUAUAUAAAUAUCUGGUUCGACAAACUUCAACAGAUAAUCUAAUGUUUUGUAUAUAACAUGCUAGUCAAGUCAACCUGUUGAUCUUUGGGUUAGUCAUACUUUGUCAUACACACUAAGAUAGGAAUUAAUGCCACAGAAAAAGCAAUAAUAUUUUGGAAGCCGGCCUCAUUCUGCUGUAUGUUCAGUUAUCUAAUGGCCAAGAAGAUCUACUAUCAUUGUAAAUGUUUAGAAACUCACUUUUGAAAGGAAUUGUAAUCUAAAGUUUAUCCUCUUUCCGUCUUCUCGCUGGAACCUUCUACCAGUUAGGAGGCCAUUAACAUAUUAGAUGUCUCCUACUUGUAAUGAUAAUAGCUGUUACAUCUAAUGGUUUCUCUACUUUCCAUACACUAACUCAUGUCUGUCUUGUAAUUCUGUUUGCAGUCAUCGCGGAUUGGGGCAUCCAAAGCUAGCAUGUCAAGGUCUCUUUCUGUGCCUGGGAGAAACUUUGUCAUUGUUAGAUCAAUGUCCUUUGCUACCCAUGAAGAGCAUGUUCCAUAUACUGGAGAUGGUAAGUCAGUG
rnacentral:lncRNA from 1 species